rnacentral:lncRNA from 1 species
GUGAUAUUAAUGGCCUUUUCCUGCCAGGAACUCCAGUGGGCACUCAGGAAGCCAGGAUUACAGGGCUCUAUCCAGUCACCGCAUGUCUCGGCAUUCGGGAAGCCUAUCUCAGUCUCCUCAAAUUCUGCACACAUAAAACUUCAGAGCCUGGGAGCGACCCAUGAAACGCAGGUUUUUAAGGACAAAACAAUAGGACAAAAGUGCUGUAUAUUGUCCUUAAGAUGACACAUGAAUUUAAAAUGCAUAGUGUUUGGAUUAUUCAUGAGAGCCCCGCAAGAACGAUGUCCCAGGGGUUUUUGCCAGGAACAUGCCUGAGAUUGUAGAUAAGAAUCAAGCAUCUGGGGCUGCCGCACAAUGGAAAACUCCAGCACUCCAUGGAACUUUUCCAUCUGCAGCAGUCGGAGGAUUUGCCUGAGAACAUACGCGGCAUGAAGACACUCUCAGCCCUCAAGGGCACCCAGUCAGCGCUGUUUAAGGACGGUUUUUCUGUUCACAGCAUACUUCAUGAUUACAGCUUCACUCCAUUGGAUACAACUAUGCUACCUGCGGAUGCAAUGAAGCCCUAUACCCGUGCCUGAAGUCAGGAGCACAGGACACUGGGAGUCUGUCUCAGCGCAGUAACUGCUACAUGGUACGCUCCACAUGGUAUCCUCUCCACCUGAGCCCUCCUCAUCCCUCGCCCCCUCUCCACACCUCACCCUCUCCACACUGUAUUAUCUCCCACUGCAAGCAACGCAGAGGACACAGAGGUGCAGCUGAAGUGAAGGCAGGCCAGUUCUUUUCCAAUUCACUCUUAUGAAAAUGUGUUAAAUCCCGUUAAAUGCACCGACCUGAACUGAAAUGAUGAUAUCAGUAAAUUUGUUGUUGUCAUCUGAUGCCCACACAGAUCUCAGCACAUGUUUUGGGAAAGGCUGCAGUGUUCAAGGAGUACUAGAAAUGUUCUUUCUGAGUGGACUGGCCAUGAUAAGCCAAAGAAUAUUAUAGCCGAUAGGGAUAAAUCAUGGUUUUCCCACUGCGCGGUUGCCUGGUGGAGAUUAUUCCAGCCUUUAUUUACAGCUACAAAAAUAAUCCUGCCUCAAGGAUUUUAGGAAGCAACCACCUCCUGCCUAAAGAACUACACUGCAUUGUUGACUUGCCAGCUAGAAACCAGACAUGAGUCGUGCAGGGAAGUUCCCUUUGAACGGCUUGAAUUGUUGUCACUAGAGGGUGCUAAAUGCCCCUCAAAAAGGCCUUUAGAGAGAAUACUAGUGUGCCUAAUUCUUGAUUUAAAUUCCUUGAAUUGACAUUAUUUUACAAAGUGGUCUCAUUUUUUACUUGUUAAAAUUAAGAUCUAACAUUUAUAAUGCAGAAAUGGUGUUUUUUUUUGAAAAAUUUGGAUUGUUCAUUAUUAUAGAACAUAAAGAAAUACACGUUUUAGGAGCAAACAUGAAUUACACAGAUCUGAAUAUAAGAUUAAAGGCAUAAAUCUGGGGGGGUGAGAUUUGUCCAUGGAAAUUGUAUAAUUGUUUUAUGCCACUGUUAAUGAUUUUAAAGCCUGAAAAAUUUACCACUUUACAAUAAUUUUAGAUUGUUCAAUAUGUUCCCAAAUGUGAGUUGCAUCAAAUUCGGUAAAUGUAGAGUAUGUUUGUUUUCUCUGUACACAAUACUGACGUCAGUGCUAGUGCCUGCCUAAACUCAGACACCAGUAGAUCCUUUUCCAGAACUAAGUGUUAUAGGAGGAAUAUGGAUUAUACUGUAAUAUAUCAGAUGUGAAAAAAGCCUCACGGUCCCUUCCUUUCUCAAAAAAAACGUGUAGUAUUUUGGAAUAUGCAUGGAGUAUAGCACUUCUAAAAAUGGUACUUUAUGUAUAUAUGAAGUAAAAUAGGCCUUAAAACUUAAUAUACAGAUUUCCUUGAAAAUAAUCUUAUUAUACAUUUACACUGACUUUUUGGUCAUCCAAACAUUAUGCACUUAAGCAAAAAGAAAUAUAACCAAUUUUGCAACUUUCCUCUUCCUGCCUUUGCUUCUACUUAAAAAUAUCUGCAGUAUUUCCUUUUCUCGCCGCUUCCACUUUGGUUCAUAUACCAAGGAAUCGUGAGGUCAAUGGGUGACAGUUGUUUGUCUGUGUUCACGGCUGUCGGGCGGGGCUGGGUGUGGGUAAGGCUCUGACCGACAUCUGAAGAGGCUUCACCCACUGCGGUUUAGGAUACAUUUUCCUCUCGCUCUGCCAGUAGAACAGGGAGGCUAGUUUUCAAUGUGUUCUACAGAAGGAUAAUUAAGGCAGUGUGUCACCUGCUCGUCUGCUAUUUUUAAAAGGAAACAAACAUAACCUUUGCAUGUGAGAGGCAUUGCAAACUAGAUGGGAGGAGGCCCGGACCCUGUAACAGUCGUACAUUCCGGUCCCAGCUUCGCUGGGGUGCAACUGCAGAUAAAAGACGCUGGCUCGACAAAAAGCGCCCCUGGGCUCUGCAUUGCCAGCAUGCACAAUACGAAUUGCUAAUGAUGAGCUGGCUUAGGUAGGAACUGAGGACCCUGAGUGCAGGGCUAACCUCUGCUUCACAGGAGGGGUCCACUGGCGCGCGCUGGAGGCGGGGAGCCUUCGUGAUAUUUCUCCGAAGGGAAGAGUCCAUGCAGCAUCCUGAUAACAGGGACCUUGGCUUCAUCCCCAACUGCUCGGUGACCCCGAUGCGUCAUUUAAUUCAUUUGUGCCAAUAUUCC